rnacentral:rRNA from 1 species
AGCGAACGCUGGCGGCAGGCUUAACACAUGCAAGUCGAGCGGGCGUAGCAAUAUUGCUGCGGGAGUCGGGGGAGUAAGGGGGGGUAACGUACCUUAUUGUUCGGGGCAACACAGGGAAACGUGUGGUAAUACCGGCUAAGCCCUCACGGGUAAAGAUGGAUCGCCGGAAGAUCGGUCGGCGCCUGAUUAGCCAGUUGGUGAGGUAUCGGCUUACCAAGUCGGGGGGGAGCAGAUGGGCUGAGAGGAUGAUCAGCGACUUUGGGGGUGGGACACGGCCGAAACUCCUACAGGAGGCAGCAGUGGGGAAUAUUGGACAGUGGGGGGUACCAAGAUCGUGCCAUGCCUCGUGAGUGAUGAAGGCCGUAGGGUUGUAAAGCUCUUUUGUACGGGAAGAUAAUGACGGUACCGAAAGAAUAAGCCCCGGCUAACUUCGUG